rnacentral:rRNA from 1 species
GACGAACGUUGGCGGCGUGCCUAAUACAUGCAAGUCGAGCGGACUGAAUGGGAGCUUGCUCUUGUUCGGUCAGCGGCGGACGGGUGAGUAACACGUGGGCAACCUGCCCGCAAGACCGGGAUAACUCCGGGAAACCGGAGCUAAUACCGGAUAACACCGAAGACCGCAUGGUCUUUGGUUGAAAGGCGGCGCAAGCUGCCACUUGCGGAUGGGCCCGCGGCGCAUUAGCUAGUUGGUGAGGUAACGGCUCACCAAGGCGACGAUGCGUAGCCGGCCUGAGAGGGUGACCGGCCACACUGGGACUGAGACACGGCCCAGACUCCUACGGGAGGCAGCAGUAGGGAAUCUUCCGCAAUGGGCGAAAGCCUGACGGAGCGACGCCGCGUGAGCGAAGAAGGCCUUCGGGUCGUAAAGCUCUGUUGUGAGGGACGAAGGAGCGCCGUUUGAAGAAGGCGGCGCGGUGACGGUACCUCACGAGGAAGCCCCGGCUAACUACGUG